rnacentral:rRNA from 1 species
AGAGUUUGAUCCUGGCUCAGAUUGAACGCUGGCGGCAUGCUUUACACAUGCAAGUCGAACGGCAGCGCGGGGGCAACCCUGGCGGCGAGUGGCGAACGGGUGAGUAAUGCAUCGGAACGUAUCCUGUAAUGGGGGAUAACGUAGCGAAAGUUACGCUAAUACCGCAUACGCUCGAGAGAGGAAAGUGGGGGAUCGCAAGACCUCACGUUAUAGGAGCGGCCGAUGUCCGAUUAGCUAGUUGGUGGGGUAAAGGCCUACCAAGGCGACGAUCGGUAGCUGGUCUGAGAGGAUGAUCAGCCACACUGGGACUGAGACACGGCCCAGACUCCUACGGGAGGCAGCAGUGGGGAAUUUUGGACAAUGGGCGAAAGCCUGGUCCAGCCAUGCCGCGUGCGGGAAGAAGGCCUUCGGGUUGUAAACCGCUUUAGUCCGGGAAAAAGGGGUGCGAGGAUAAUACCCUCGUGCUUUGAUGGUACUGGAAGAAUAAGCACCGGCUAACUACGUG